rnacentral:rRNA from 2 species
CGUAUCACCCAAGACAACUUUACGGAGUUGACGAUUGACGGAGCGAAGCGACGUCAAAGCGUUCAUUAAAGUCGAGUUGGCUUAGGGAUACGUUCGUUGGGUAGGGGAGCGUUCUGUAAGCCUGUGAAGGUGGCCUGUGAGGGUUGCUGGAGGUAUCAGAAGUGCGAAUGCUGACAUAAGUAACGAUAAAGCGGGUGAAAAGCCCGCUCGCCGGAAGACCAAGGGUUCCUGUCCAACGUUAAUCGGGGCAGGGUGAGUCGACCCCUAAGGCGAGGCCGAAAGGCGUAGUCGAUGGGAAACGGGUUAAUAUUCCCGUACUUGGUGUUACUGCGAAGGGGGGACGGAGAAGGCUAUGUUGGCCGGGCGACGGUUGUCCCGGUUUAAGCGUGUAGGCUGGUUUUCCAGGCAAAUCCGGAAAAUCAAGGCUGAGGCGUGACGACGAGGCACUACGGUGCUGAAGCAACAAAUGCCCUGCUUCCAGGAAAAGCCUCUAAGCAUCAGGUAACAUCAAAUCGUACCCCAAACCGACACAGGUGGUCGGGUAGAGAAUACCAAGGCGCUUGAGAGAACUCGGGUGAAGGAACUAGGCAAAAUGGUGCCGUAACUUCGGGAGAAGGCACGCUGACACGUAGGUGAAGUGAUUUACUCAUGGAGCUGAAGUCAGUCGAAGAUACCAGCUGGCUGCAACUGUUUAUUAAAAACACAGCACUGUGCAAACACGUAAGUGGACGUAUACGGUGUGACGCCUGCCCGGUGCCGGAAGGUUAAUUGAUGGGGUCAGCGCAAGCGAAGCUCCUGAUAGAAGCCCCGGUAAACGGCGGCCGUAACUAUAACGGUCCUAAGGUAGCGAAAUUCCUUGUCGGGUAAGUUCCGACCUGCACGAAUGGCGUAAUGAUGGCCAGGCUGUCUCCACCCGAGACUCAGUGAAAUUGAACUCGCUGUGAAGAUGCAGUGUACCCGCGGCAAGACGGAAAGACCCCGUGAACCUUUACUAUAGCUUGACACUGAACAUUGAGCCUUGAUGUGUAGGAUAGGUGGGAGGCUUUGAAGCGUGGACGCCAGUCUGCGUGGAGCCGACCUUGAAAUACCACCCUUUAAUGUUUGAUGUUCUAACGUGGACCCGUAA